rnacentral:tRNA from 1 species
UUCCCAACCCAGGGAUCAAACCUAGGUCUUUUGAAUUACAGGCAGAUUCUUUACCAUCUGAGCCACCAGGGA